rnacentral:snoRNA from 1 species
GUGCUAUGAUGUAAUAUCAACACAUCAUUCUGAAGAGAAUGGAACAUGUGGAGACUCUUUUUUUUUAUUACUGAGCACA